AAAAAUAAAGGUUCUCCGCAAACGGUUGGGAUCGAUGGCUGGUUGUUUUACUUACGCACAGAGCACGGUGACUGCACUGUGUAAAUCACUCCAGGCCUCUAUGAUGUUAUGGACACUCAUAGAAUGAAAGUGUUCAUGAAGAACUGUAGUCAACAGGAAUAAAGAUCAUUUCCGGUUUCAGAAAUCGCUGAAUGAAAGUCCAUGAAGUUUUAGUAGAACAGUAACUUGGACACACUUUCUACUUUGCAACUCCUAAGUGAACAAAGCAGCUAUUUUCAAAUGUUAGCCUCGUCCAGGUUGAUGUGCUCCAUCUGAUGCCUACAGCACCACAGAGCUCCUGGAAUAUUCACCUCCUGCUUAUGGCAUUGCUGUUUGCUAUCACAACACCCACGUCUUGCACGUCUCCAAUAGGCUGAACAGAGAGAGCUGUAAAGAAGCAUGAAGACUCAAAGAUACAGAUGAAGCGCAUCAUAAAGUGAAUUAUCUGAGUGUAAAACCAGUGAAAAUAAUCAUCUUAAUUACUAAAUCUUUCCUUCUCCAGUCAGAGGAAGGCUAGGGGUGGUGCUGGCAGGUAGUUGGUUGAAAUGUUUAGUCAGAGAAGACACUAACAUCUCUGCUGUAGAAAUCUAGUUUAAUGACAGCUGCACAAGAUUUUAGUUCAUUUGAAUUCAAAAUCAAGCUCAGAAGCUGAAUACAAUUUGUCAGAAUGUCUCUCAGGAAUGUCUUCAUAACUCCAUGUAGGCCACUUAUAUUAGAGUGUGGAAUCUUCAUAAAAAUACAACAGAACACAUGUAUGGCUAGCAAAAUGAUUUUUACUAGAACUGACCAUGCAGAAAUAAAUGUUUCCUACUGAAGAUCUUUAGCUGAUCAUAGGCUUGCAAAAGAAGCGUUGGGAGUUGUUGCGCCUAGUGUCACCUAACACGUAGAUUCAACUACUGCGUGGGACAUGGGGCAAAUCACCAAAUAGUUCUGUUCUGCCUCUAAUUGCUGAGAUUUAUUCUGUGCAAUGGCUUCAUAUUGUCAAUGACGAAAUUGGACUUCAUUUUCUUCAGUUGUCUUCACUGUCAGUAAUUUAUGAGUACGUACUACCGUGACCUGAUUUUGAGCAGACAGACGACUGUUUUAAUUAGAGUUGAUUUUUUUUUUCCCAAGGGGUUUGUUACUGUCUAGUUUAACUUCUUGGAAUUUUGAAAUUACCAACUAUCUUAUCAGUCUGACUCCUCUCAACUGUUCCUUUCUUUUUCAGCAUUUUUUAUAUGCUCAUUGCUACUUCUAUUUCUAAAUGAAUUAAAUCUAGCUUCCACAUAAGAAAAAACAAAACAAAACAAAAAACUGGAAAAGACAAGCCUUCCUCAAAUCUAUCUCUAUAAAGAAACUCACAGAAAUUAAUACUACAUGGAGACAAUUUGUUACUUAGAUAUUAGUGCUCUGUGUUUUCUCAUUUCUUUGAUGUUAUUUAUAGUCUCGUAUUGAAUCAGGGAUGUAAAUAAAAACAUUGUUAUGAU
rnacentral:lncRNA from 7 species